AACGAACGCUGGCGGCAGGCCUAACACAUGCAAGUCGAGCGAAGCCUUCGGGCUUAGCGGCGGACGGGUGAGUAACGCGUGGGAACGUGCCCUUUGGUACGGAAUAGCCCCGGGAAACUGGGAGUAAUACCGUAUGUGCCCUUCGGGGGAAAGAUUUAUCGCCAAAGGAUCGGCCCGCGUUGGAUUAGGUAGUUGGUGGGGUAAUGGCCUACCAAGCCGACGAUCCAUAGCUGGUUUGAGAGGAUGAUCAGCCACACUGGGACUGAAGACACGGCCCAGACUCCUACGGGAGGCAGCAGUGGGGAAUCUUAGGCAAUGGGGGAAACCCUGAUCUAGCCAUGCCGCGUGAUCGAUGAAGGCCUUAGGGUUGUAAAGAUCUUUCAGUGGGGAAGAUAAUGACUGUACCCACAGAAGAAGCCCCGGCUAACUCCGUGCCAGCCGCCGCGGUAAAAC
rnacentral:rRNA from 1 species